CCCUUAGAUGUCCUGGGCCGCACGCGCGUUACACUGAUGCAUUCAACGAGCUUAUAACCUUGGCCGAGAGGCCUGGGCAAUCUUGUUAACGUGCAUCGUGAUAGGGAUAGAUUAUUGAAAUUAUUAAUCUUGAACGAGGAAUGCCUAGUAAACGCAAGUCAUCAGCUUGCAUUGAUUACGUCCCUGCCCUUUGUACACACCGCCCGUCGCUCCUACCGAUUGAAUGAUCCGAUGAAUAUCAUGGACUGAGAGUGUUAGAGUUUUCGGACUUCUACACUUCUCGGGAAGUGAAGUGAAUCUUAUCAUUUAGAGGAAGGAGAAGUCGUAACA
rnacentral:rRNA from 1 species